rnacentral:rRNA from 1 species
CCCUUCGGGGUACUCGAGUGGCGAACGGGUGAGUAACACGUGGGUGAUCUGCCCUGCACUUUGGGAUAAGCCUGGGAAACUGGGUCUAAUACCGAAUAUGACCGCAUGCUUCAUGGUGUGUGGUGGAAAGCUUUUGCGGUGUGGGAUGGGCCCGCGGCCUAUCAGCUUGUUGGUGGGGUAAUGGCCUACCAAGGCGACGACGGGUAGCCGGCCUGAGAGGGUGACCGGCCACACUGGGACUGAGAUACGGCCCAGACUCCUACGGGAGGCAGCAGUGGGGAAUAUUGCACAAUGGGCGCAAGCCUGAUGCAGCGACGCCGCGUGAGGGAUGACGGCCUUCGGGUUGUAAACCUCUUUCAAUAGGGACGAAGCGCAAGUGACGGUACCUAUAGAAGAAGGACCGGCCAACUACGUGCCAGCAGCCGCGGUAAUACGUAGGGUCCGAGCGUUGUCCGGAAUUACUGGGCGUAAAGAGCUCGUAGGUGGUUUGUCGCGUUGUUCGUGAAAACUCACAGCUUAACUGUGGGCGUGCGGGCGAUACGGGCAGACUAGAGUACUGCAGGGGAGACUGGAAUUCCUGGUGUAGCGGUGGAAUGCGC